rnacentral:rRNA from 1 species
ACAUGGUGGUAGUAGUGAAGCGAAAGCGGAACGAUCCUUCGGGAAGCCAUCACAGGUGCUGCAUGGCUGUCGUCAGCUCGUGCCGUGAGGUGUUGGGUUAAGUCCCGCAACGAGCGCAACCCUCGCUGUUAGUUACAUGUGUCUAACGGGACUGCCGGUAUCAAACCGGAGGAAGGUGGGGAUGACGUCAAGUCAGCAUGGCCUUUAUAUCCAGGGCUACACACACGCUACAAUGGUCGGUACAAAGGGUUGCCAAGCCGCGAGGCGGAGCUAAUCUCAAAAAACCGGCCUCAGUUCGGAUUGCAGGCUGCGACUCGCCUGCAUGAAGUUGGAGUUGCUAGUAAACGCCGGUCAGCCAUACGGCGUUGAAUAUGUUCCCGGGCCUUGUACACACCGCCCGUCACGUCAUGGGAGUCGGUAACACCUGAAGCCGGUGGGCUAACCGUAAGGAGGCAGCUGUCGAAGGUGGGACUGGUGACUGGGACG